GUUUCUGUAGUGUAGUAGUCAUCACAUGCGCUUGACGCGCCCAAGGUCCCCAGCUCGAUCCUGGGAAGAAGCA
rnacentral:tRNA from 1 species